AAGAUUUUAAGUUAAGUAAACUAUAUGCCUUCAAAGCAUAAAAUAAAUAAACAUUUAAAUCUUA
rnacentral:tRNA from 1 species